rnacentral:rRNA from 1 species
GAUGAACGCUGGCGGCGUGCUUAACACAUGCAAGUCGAACGGGAUCCAAGGGGUGCUUGCACUUUUUGGUGAGAGUGGCGAACGGGUGAGUAACACGUGAGUAACCUGUCCUUUUCUUUGGGAUAAGCAUUCGAAAGGGUGUUUAAUACCUUAUGUUCUGUCUGCCUCGCAUGGGGUGGGUGGGAAAGGCUUUGGCCGGAUUUGGGUGGGCUCGCGGUCUAUCAGCUUGUUGGUGGGGUGAUGGCUUACCAAGGCUUUGACGGGUAGCCGGCCUGAGAGGGUGGUCUGUCACAUUGGGACUGAGAUACGGCCCAGACUCCUGCGGGAGGCAGCAGUGGGGGAUAUUGCACAAUGGGCGAAAGCCUGAUGCAGCGACGCCGCGUGGGGGAUGAAGGCCUUCGGGUUGUAAACUUCUUUUGCUCUGAACAAGGCAUGCCAGUGGGUGUGUUGAGUGUAGGGGUUGAUUAGCGCCGGCUAACUACGUG